AUGGGGAGGCCUCCGUGCUGCGACAAGGUGGGCGUCAAGAAGGGGCCGUGGACGCCGGAGGAGGACCUCAUGCUCGUCUCCUACAUCCAGGAGCACGGCCCAGGGAACUGGCGCGCCGUGCCGACCAACACCGGGCUGAUGCGGUGCAGCAAGAGCUGCCGGCUUCGGUGGACCAACUACCUUCGGCCGGGGAUCAAGCGCGGCAACUUCAACGACCAGGAGGAGAAGCUCAUCGUCCACCUCCAGGCGCUGCUCGGCAACCGUUGGGCGGCGAUAGCGUCCUACUUGCCCGAGAGGACGGACAACGACAUCAAGAACUACUGGAACACCCAUCUCAAGAAGAAGCUCAAGAAGAUGCAGGACGCCGGAGGGAACGACGGCGGCUCGGAGGGCGCCGGCGCCGCCGGUGUCGGUGGUGGCGUCGCCAAGGCGGCCGCUCCCAAAGGGCAGUGGGAGCGCCGGCUGCAGACGGACAUCCACACUGCGCGGCAGGCCCUGCGCGACGCGCUCUCUCUAGAGCCCUCACAGCCCGCCGCGCUGGCGGCGCCGGCGCUGCCGACGCCUCCGGGGUCGGUGACGACGUACGCGUCGAGCGCGGACAACAUCGCGCGCCUACUGGAGGGCUGGAUGCGCCCCGGGAGCAGCAGCAAGGGGCCGGAGGCGUCGGGGUCGACGUCGUCCACUACGGCGACGACCCGCCAGCAGCCACAGUGCUCCUGGGAUGGCGCGGCGUCCGCGUCGGCGAGUCACAGCGGCGGCGCGGCCGGGGCGGCAGCAGCGCAGACUCCCGAGGGCUCGACCGAGACGAGCAAGCUGGCCGGCGCCGGGGCCGGCGGCGCCCCGCCGGCGUUCUCCAUGCUGGAGAACUGGCUGCUUGACGACGGCAUGGGGCACGGCGAGGCGGGACUCAUGGACGACGUGGUGCCACUAGGGGACCCCAGUGAGUUCUUCUAA
rnacentral:rRNA from 1 species